rnacentral:rRNA from 1 species
GAUGAACGCUGGCGGCGUGCCUAACACAUGCAAGUCGAGCGGGGGUAUGAGGAGUGCUUGCACACAUCAUAUUCUAGCGGCGGACGGGUGAGUAACGCGUGGGCAACCUGCCCCAUACAACGGGAUAACACUUAGAAAUAGGUGCUAAUACGGUAUAAUGCUGAAUUACCGCAUGGUAAAACAGAGAAAGAUUUAUCGGUAUGGGAGGGGCCCGCGUCUGAUUAGCUAGUUGGUGAGGUAAAGGCCCACCAAGGCGACGAUCAGUAGCCGACCUGAGAGGGUGAACGGCCACAUUGGGACUGAGACACGGCCCAAACUCCUACGGGAGGCAGCAGUGGGGAAUAUUGCACAAUGGGCGAAAGCCUGAUGCAGCAACGCCGCGUGAAGGAGGAAGGUUUUCGGAUCGUAAACUUCUAUCGACAGGGACGAAAGCAAUGACGGUACCUGAGUAAGAAGCCCCGGCUAACUACGUGCCAGCCGCCGCCGCAGUAAGA